GCAUUUGCAUUACUAAAAUAUUAUUACAACCAAUAUUGCAUCCAAUAUAAAGAUAUCACCAAUCUUGAAUGUGCUGCAAAGUUGAUGGGAUAGGUAGACGCAACAUCCAAUUCUCAAAACUCAAUAAUCCACACUAGUAAAAAAGGGAACCUUGAAACCAGCUCAGACUACUUUUUUUUUGGGGUAAUAAGCUAGGACCUUUUUUGUUCCUUCAACAAACACACAUCCAGGAGGGUGAUCCAGCCCAUUAUCACAACUAUUGUAAAACUUCCAUUCUACUAUACUCUUGUUAAGUUGCCAUAACCACGAGAACAACACAGUUGAACACAUGCUUUAUAUCUAGAUCUUGAGUAGAUUUGCAUCACUACAAUAUUAUUACAACCAUUACAUCAAUAGUCAAUACCCUCUGAUUACACAUGCAAAGCAAGAAAACACCUUCACUUUUGCCUUUGCUAUCACUAACGUAUUGCACAAAGGCAUCACAUGUAUGCUGGCCAUGGACAUGCUUCAGAAAGCAAAGACAUUCCUAGAUCGUAAUUUGUGGGAUACACAAAUUCCUAGAAAUAAUAAAGGUCAAGAAUGGCGAUGGUAGGCUUGAAACAAACUUCAAGAUGUAAGAAGGCAGGAAGGACUUUGCUCUGCAUCUUAAACAGUAUCAGUUAUUUACUAUCUGCUAGUUAGAAGAGUAGCUGGAACUUGGAAUACAAAAAUCAUGCUGAGUAUCCUACAGAAUCUUGAACCAAGAUCAUAAGUUUCAUGUCCACCAGUCUGUACCAGCAAAGCAGCUGGCAUCUUCCAGUGGGAAGGGUUUUGAAAACAAAUGAAGUUGGUUUUGUUUUGCAGUUGAAGCAUGAGAAUGAGAGGUACAUGAACUCAGCCUGCACUCUGCAUCUUAAACAGC
rnacentral:misc_RNA from 1 species